GACGAACGCUGGCGGCGUGCCUAAUACAUGCAAGUCGAGCGGACCAAACAGGAGCUUGCUCUUGUUUGGUUAGCGGCGGACGGGUGAGUAACACGUGGGUAACCUGCCCGUAAGACCGGGAUAACUCCGGGAAACCGGAGCUAAUACCGGAUAACACCGAAGACCGCAUGGUCUUUGGUUGAAAGGCGGCUUCGGCUGCCACUUACGGAUGGGCCCGCGGCGCAUUAGCUAGUUGGUGAGGUAACGGCUCACCAAGGCGACGAUGCGUAGCCGGCCUGGGAGGGUGACCGGCCACACUGGGACUGAGACACGGCCCAGACUCCUACGGGAGGCAGCAGUAGGGAAUCUUCCGCAAUGGACGAAAGUCUGACGGAGCGACGCCGCGUGAGCGAAGAAGGUCUUCGGAUCGGAAAGCUCUGUUGUUAGGGAAGAAGAAGCGCCGUUCGAACAGGGCGGCGCGGUGACGGUACCUAACGAGAAAGCCCCGGCUAACUACGUG
rnacentral:rRNA from 1 species